UACGAAGGGGGCUAGCGUUGUUCGGAUUUACUGGGCGUAAAGCGCACGUAGGCGGAUUGUUAAGUCAGGGGUGAAAUCCUGGAGCUCAACUCCAGAACUGCCUUUGAUACUGGCAAUCUUGAGUCCGGAAGAGGUGAGUGGAACUCCUAGUGUAGAGGUGGAAUUCGUAGAUAUUAGGAAGAACACCAGUGGCGAAGGCGGCUCACUGGUCCGGUACUGACGCUGAGACGCGAAAGCGUGGGGAGCAAACAGGG
rnacentral:rRNA from 1 species